rnacentral:misc_RNA from 1 species
AAAGAAGAAAGAGAAAUGGCGACGGCAUCAUCAGGCGUACAGAAGCUCCUGCAAGUUGGGACAAAGAUCGUCGCCGUUGGCCGUAACUACGCCGCUCACGCCAAAGAACUCGGCAACGCCGUGCCUAAGGAGCCAGUAUUGUUUAUGAAGCCCACAUCAUCGUAUUUAGAGAACGGAGGGACAAUAGAAGUUCCUUAUCCAUUGGAAUCACUGGAUCACGAGGUGGAGUUGGCAGUUGUCAUCAGCAAAAGAGCUAGGGAUGUACCUGAAGCCACUGCUAUGGAGUAUGUUGGAGGCUAUGCACUUGGCUUGGAUAUGACUGCAAGGGAGAUCCAAGCUACCGCAAAGUCUGCAGGCCUGCCAUGGACUGUUGCUAAGGGUCAAGACACAUUCACUCCUAUCAGCUCAGUUUUACCACAGUCCAUGGUGCCAGAUCCCCAUGACAUAGAGUUGUGGCUAAAGGUUGAUGGAGAACUUCGCCAAAAAGGCUCAACAAGAGAUAUGAUAUUUAAGAUCCCAUAUUUGAUUAGCCACAUAAGUUCUAUCAUGACUCUUCUCCAGGGAGAUGUUAUUUUAACUGGGACUCCCAAAGGAGUUGGUCCUGUUAAGGUUGGUCAAAAGAUUGAUGCUGGCAUAACAGGUCUCCUGGAUGUGCACUUUGAUGUUGGAAGACGCCCAGGAGAGAAACAGCAGUGAUUCACAAUAAGUUUAUCUUUUUUUGUUUGUUGUAUACUUGACCCACUUGUUUGUGGAUAUUCUGAAUUUUCCUUCCCAUGAUUACUAGGAUAUUUUGUACAAUAACAAAACCAUCAACUUGUAUCUUUUCAAAUAAAAUUACAAGUUG